GACGAACGCUGGCGGCGGGCUUAACACAUGCAAGUCGAACGGAAAGGCCCUGCUUUUGUGGGGUGCUCGAGGGGCGAACGGGUGAGUAACACGUGAGUAACCUGCCCUUGACUUUGGGAUAACUUCAGGAAACUGGGGCUAAUACCGGAUAGGAGCUCCUGCUGCAUGGUGGGGGUUGGAAAGUUUCGGCGGUUGGGGAUGGACGCGCGGCUUAUCAGCUUGUUGGUGGGGUAGUGGCUUACCAAGGCUUUGACGGGUAGCCGGCCGGAGAGGGUGACCGGCCACCUUGGGCCUGCGAUACGGCCCAGACUCCUACGUGAGGCAGCAGUGGGGAAUAUUGCACAAUGGGCGGAAGCCUGAUGCAGCAACGCCGCGUGCGGGAUGACGGCCUUCGGGUUGUAAACCGCUUUCGCCUGUGACGAAGCGUGAGUGACGGUACUGGGUAAAGAAGCACCGGCUAACUACGUG
rnacentral:rRNA from 1 species